rnacentral:rRNA from 1 species
UACGUAGGGUGCGAGCGUUGUCCGGAAUCAUUGGGCGUAAAGCGCGCGUAGGCGGCCUCAUAAGUCCGUUGUGAAAGUCAAAGGCUCAACCUUUGAAAGCCGAUGGAUACUGUGAGGCUAGAGUCCGGAAGAGGCGAGUGGAAUUCCUGGUGUAGCGGUGGAAUGCGCAGAUAUCAGGAGGAACACCAAUAGCGAAGGCAGCUCGCUGGGACGGUACUGACGCUAAGGCGCGAAAGCGUGGGGAGCGAACAGG